GAAAGAGGGACACCUGCAGCUCUGCUUCACUGCUCAUGAAGCUUCUCCCCUCCAGACAUGGUUCACAACUGAAGCUUACACUACGUGCAGCACAGGCCAGUGCUGUAAGAAGCAUGGACGUGAACACCAGUGUCAGAAUCAACAUGGCGGGAGCGAUGAUUCUGAGAAAGCACAGUGGCAGAACCUCUGAUGCCCACCCCACCCCCCACCCCUGCAUCCAGCUGGGGUGCAGUGACAAGUGCCAGUGAACAGUCAACUAUACACAAAGCCAGGUGGAAGCUGGGAGCUGGAGCCCCAAGAUGAAGGGGGGCAAGGUUCUUACAUAUACAGCCUAUACAGCCCAGGAGCAAAGGGAACACAGAGCCUUCAGGUGGUGCUGCCAAGGUGGGUGACAGGAGGCCCAGGGGAAGGCUGAAAGACUGAAGAGGGAAGUAACUCCCUUUGUGCUGUUCACUCCCGCUUCCCAGGCCCCCCGGAACCAUGCCUCACACACAGGGAGCAGAAGACUUGUGGAGUUAAUGAGAGACGAACUCUUUGGGGAAAUUUCAAGGAAAGCUUCUUAGAACAAGGGUGCAUCUAAGCAGUGAAGAAAUGAGUCAGAGCUUGGAGACUGAAAAAGGAAGAAAGGGCAUUGCCAGCAAAGAGAACAGUGGCUGUGGAGGUGAGGCAGCAGGGAGCAAGUGGCAAAGAGCUUGUGUGGCUCCACUCAUUCCACACUGACUGAUCUUUCAGCUACCAAGUUGCAGCUGCUACCAUGAUGCCAUCCUGACUUCCCCGCACAGAGGACCUCAAUGUGUCUCACCUCUCCAGAACCCUAGCCCACUAGAAAAAGAUAGAAACAGGUUGGGGUAUGGAUCAACCUGCCAAUACUUAUGUUCAGUGGAGAAACAAUUACAGGCCUCCCACCUUCUACACCCCAUAAAGAAUUUUGGUCCAAAUUCCCAGAAAGGUAAAGAAUAGGCAAGUUUACAAUGGAUGGGGAUGAGACGCAGAACUCUAGUAGUGGGAACUGUAUGGAAUUGUAUCCCUGUUAUCUUACAGUCUUGUUAAUCAUUAUUAAGUCACAAAGGAAAAAAAGAAAGAAAUACAGAUGGCAGGACUGGUGAAAUAGUUCACUUGGACAGUGCGUUCCUUUGCCGUAUGCGCCACCCAGGUUUGAGCCCAGCCACCACCACAUAGAGGAAAGCAUCAGUGUUGUGGUCUCUUUCUCUGUCUCUCUGUCAGAAAGAGAGAGUGCUGGGCACCUCUGCCCAGUGCUCUAACA